rnacentral:rRNA from 1 species
AUUAAGUUUAAUUUAAUAUAGGAUCUGCUCAAUGAUUUAUUAAAUAGCUGCAGUAUUUUGACUGUGCAAAGGUAGCAUAAUAAUUAGUCUUUUAAUUGAGGACUUGAAUGAAAGAUUUGAUGAGAAAUAAACUUUAUUAUUUAUAUAAUUAGAAUUUUAUUUUUAAGUAAAAAAGCUUAAAUUAUUUAAAGGGACGAUAAGACCCUAUAAAACUUUAUAAAUACUAAUUUUAAUUUUUUUGGAUUUAUAAAUAUUUUAUUUUUAUUAUUUAUUUUAUUGGGGUGAUAAAAAAAAUUAUUAAACUUUUUUUAAAAUUUUACAUUAUUUAAUGAAUUUUUGAAUUAAAAUUUUUAAUUAAAGGAAAAAGUUACUUUAGGGAUAACAGCGUAAUUAAUUUUUUAAG